rnacentral:lncRNA from 1 species
GGUUAAAAGGUGAUAACUACUACUCAAAAGUGUUUAAAAGAGUUAAUUACAAGCUAUGAAAUAACACUUUUUGAGUAGUAAUCAAUCAUUUGAAUAGUUUUCUUCAAAAAUUUUGUCAAUUUCAAAUGGAUUAUAGUUGAAUUGAAAAAGGAAGGAAUAUAGUUGUAGCAAAGAAGGAUUGAAUUUGUGUGGGCAAUAUAGAAGAAAGAGGUCGACCCUUAUAUGAAAAACAAAUUGUUAACCA